rnacentral:rRNA from 1 species
GGGUUAAGUCCCGCAACGAGCGCAACCCCUAUCUCUAGUUGCCAGCGAUUCGGUCGGGGACUCUAGAGAUACUGCCCCGGUUAACGGGAGGAAGUGGGGAUGACGUCAAGUCCUCAUGGCCCUUAUGCCCAGGGCUACACACGUGCUACAAUGGGCGGUACAAAGGGUAGCGAUGCCGCGAGGCGAAGCCAAUCCCAAAAAGCCGUCCUCAGUUCGGAUUGGAGUCUGCAAUUCGCCUGCAUGAAGUCGGAAUCGCUAGUAAUCGCAGGUCAGCAUACUGCGGUGAAUACCGUUCCCGGGCCUU